UACGGAGGGUGCGAGCGUUAAUCGGAAUUACUGGGCGUAAAGCGCACGCAGGCGGUUUGUUAAGCAAGACGUGAAAGCCCCGGGCUCAACCUGGGAACUGCAUUUUGAACUUGGCAGACUAGAGUCUUGGAGAGGGGGUGGAAUUCAGGUGGUAGCGGUGAAAUGCGUAGAGAUCUGGAGGAACA
rnacentral:rRNA from 1 species